rnacentral:rRNA from 1 species
AAUCCUUUAACGAGGAACUAUUGGAGGGCAAGUCUGGUGCCAGCAGCCGCGGUAAUUCCAGCUCCAAUAGCGUAUAUUAAAGUUGUUGCGUCUAAAAAGCUCGUAGUUUGAAAACUUGCCUUGGCUUACAACAGACGUCUAAGGGCGUCACCGUUUGUCGAGAGCAAAUAUGGGUGACUGUUCUUGCCUUCUUCACUGAUUGGCUCGUAAAAGUCAUCGAAGAUCACUUUGAUUAAAUUAGGGUGCUCAAAGCAAGUGUGCUACUUGAAUAUGAAUGCAUGGAAUGAUGGAAUAUGUUGUUGUUCUAUUUGUUGGUUUUUCGAAUGACGAAAUGAUUGAAAGGAACUGUUGGGGGCAUUCGUAUUGUUGUGAGAGAGGUGAAAUUCUUAGACCAUAGCAAGACGAACUACUGCGAAAGCAUUUGCCAAGAAUGUUUUCAUUGAUCAAGAACGAAAGUUAGAGGUUCGAAGGCGAUCAGAUACCGCCCUAGUUCUAACCAUAAACUAUGCCGACUAGCAAUUUGCUUUGUAUUUUUAUGACUAAGUGAGAGGCCACGGGAAACCAAAGUAGGGUUAUGGGGGAAGUAUGGUUGCAAAGCUGAAACUUAAAGGAAUUGACGGAAGGGCACCACCAGGAGUGGAGCCUGCGGCUUAAUUUGACCCAACACGGGAAAACUUACCUGGUCCUGACACUAGAAGGAUUGACAGAUUGAUAGCUCUUUCUUGAUUUGGUGGAUGGUGGUGCAUGGCCGUUCUUAGUUGGUGGAGUGAUUUGUCUGGUUAAUUCCGAUAACGAACGAGACUCUAGCCUAUUAAAUAAUAUGCGGAAUCAAUUUCUCCCGCGUUAUUUCUUAAUGGGAUCAAGCGUGUUUAACGCUUUGAAACAGAGCAAUAACAGGUCUGUGAUGCCCUUAGAUGUUCGGGGCUGCACGCGCGCUACAUUGAAGAACAAAGUGAGCCCUCUGGCUUUUAACAAAGCUAGAAAUCUUUUAAUGUUCUUCUUAAUGGGGAUAGGGGAUUGCAAUUGUGCCCCUUGAACGAGGAAUUCCCAGUAAGUGCUAGUCAUUAGCUAGUACUGAUUACGUCCCUGCCCUUUGUACACACCGCCCGUCGCUACUACCGAUUGAAUAGUUUAGUGAGAUCAUCUGAGUGUUUGUAUGUGCAUUCUGUGCUUGUAUGGUGUACGAAGAAGAUCAAACUUGAUUAUUUAGAGGAAGUAAAAGUC